CAGGCCUAACACAUGCAAGUCGAGCGGAUGAUGGGAGCUUGCUCCCGGAUUCAGCGGCGGACGGGUGAGUAAUGCCUAGGAAUCUGCCUGGUAGUGGGGGACAACGUUUCGAAAGGAACGCUAAUACCGCAUACGUCCUACGGGAGAAAGCAGGGGACCUUCGGGCCUUGCGCUAUCAGAUGAGCCUAGGUCGGAUUAGCUAGUUGGUGGGGUAAAGGCCUACCAAGGCGACGAUCCUUAGCUGGUCUGAGAGGAUGAUCAGCCACACUGGAACUGAGACACGGCCCAGACUCCUACGGGAGGCAGCAGUGGGGAAUAUUGGACAAUGGGCGAAAGCCUGAUCCAGCAAUGCCGCGUGAGUGAUGAAGGCCCUAGGGUUGUAAAGCUCUUUUACCCGGGAUGAUAAUGAC
rnacentral:rRNA from 1 species